GAACAGCUGAGGAGUCCCAUAAUAGGACGAAACGGCCUUCCAGUGC
rnacentral:hammerhead_ribozyme from 1 species